AUCUGGGUCUGCUAGAAGGUGAGGAUCUGGGUCAGCUAGAAGGCGAGGAUCUGGGUCUGCUAGAAGGUGAGGAUCUGGGUCCGCUACAAGGUGAGGAACUAGGUCAGCUAGAAGGUGAAGAUCUGGGUCAGCUAGAAGGUGAAAAUCUGGAUCCGCUAGAAGGUGAGGAUUUGGGUCCGCUACAAGAUGAGGAUCUGAGUCAGCCAGAAGGUGAGGAUCUGGGUCCGCUACAAGAUGAGGAUCUGAGUCAGCUAGAAGAUGAGAAUUUGGGUCAGCUAGGAGGUGAGGAUCUGGCUGUAUGAUGAGGAUCCUCCACCAUGGCUGUCCUCCAAAAACAACAUGCCACAAUUCCUACAGGGACGUUGGACUUCAUCAGGAUCAGGAAUGGCGAUAGAGAGCAACCAAAUCCGUACUUCCUAGUUAGAAACCCAAUGAGCCCAGUGACUCGGAGGUUAG